GCAAGAGCAUCGUCCGACCCGCUUGUCGCCGUGCGCGAGGAGGAGGAGGAGGAGCGGGAGGAGAGCCAGCUGAGCUCCGGGAAGAGGGUCGCGCGCGGACCAGCAGCCGGCGGCCUGCAGGAACAUGUGGCACCUGCUAGGUACCACGCUCAAGGGAUGUCCACGCUUGGAUGAAUCCAGGAGGAGGUUGGCUGUGCAGUGGGAGCGUAUGAACAGAGAGGGUGUCCAAGCCUCCUCCUGCAGCACAGCAAGCAGUUCACAGGCUUCGACGAGAGCUCUGGAAUGUCACAGAGAUUAGGAGCUUUUGCCUCCCGCACCCGACGGAUCGGCUCUGACUGCCCCCCCAUCCUGUGCCCGCGCCUCCUUCCUCCCAAGCAGGUGAGAAGUGGCAUUUCCUUUCCUGCUUUCCUGUGCCCUUGGGGAUUUCCUGCAUGGGAAAUAGCAUUCAUCCAUGUUAAGAGAUGAGCGAGGAGGGGAACAGGCGAUUUGGAGAGGGAACGUGAAGGGGGAAUCAGGGGACUUGGCAUUAUACUUGAGGGGGGGGGGGACAUGUGUCUUCUAAUUUUAGCUUAAUGAGAAUAUUCCUGGUACGGUUGUCCUGAGUAGUAGACAGAUUUCUACAUUUUGCCUUUCGCCCAGCAUCACACACACACACACAUGCACACACACGCAUGCACACACACGCACAUGCCAAUGACAGACACACAUGCACUCCUCUGCAGUGGUUUCCUCCAAACGCGGUGAGGCGGAUCUGAAAAUGUGAUCCCUGCAGAGAUGUGUAGUUGUGACGGAGCGUUUAACGUCAGCUGCUGCCACGUUAAACCGCGUUCUGCAGCGUUUCCUCAGGAUGAACCACAACUCUUGACCAAAGAUCUCAAAAACUCUCCCUAUAGUCCGCACCGAUCCUCAGCCAUUGGAAUACUGGUGUUUGUGUUGGUGUUUUUGUGCAUUGCCGGAGGAAAUUACUCAGUGGGCUGCACUCCCAUCUGAAUAGGUGAACAUAAAACAACACAGCAAAAGUAUAUAUAGCUCGGCUGCCGGCGUCGUGUUGGCUGUAACCAUGUUACAAUGUGGUUUGUGACGGGUUUGUUCUGAUAUCCUCAAAAGGAAAGGAAAAAAUAGAAAGAAAUCACACUUUUUUCUCAAUCAUGUUUUUAAAAUAUCCGUGCUGGUCCUCCAUCUCAGUUUGAGCGCUGUCAGACGAUAAAAUAUAUAUAUAUAUUUCCACCAACUGAUUCAUUAUGUUUUGUGCUGUGAGUAUGAAUGCGCUAGAGGAGAAAUCUAGGUCAUUUAUUCAUCGCCAGCACGGCAGCCAGGUGUAGAACAAAGAGGAUUAGAGGGAAGUGAUGUCGACGGGGCUCUCUUUGUCUCUCGCUCUCUGUCUUCUUUCUCCAUCAAACCAAACAAUCACACUUAAGUGCUACCUGCUGUCAACUCAAAGAGCGUAUCCAUGGCAAGUAGCCCGGACUUGUAAUAAAAUACCCAUGAAUUAUUCUGCUCCAAUGAUGAGCUGGUUUCAUGCCCUUUCAACGAGAGGUAUUUCCUAAAUUGCCAUUUCUACACAAUACAAGAUCAUAACAGCAAAGGGGCAGAACGUUUAGUCACCAGGGACUGUACAUGGGUGACAAGACCGCUCUUCGCCCCCAAAGAAUGAGCAGCGUACAAUUAACAUCAUUUGCAAACAUAUGAGCAGCAGUCAUCCCGAUGUUGAAAAGCUGAGGUGCUUUCUGAUGACGUUCAACAUUAUAGGGAUGGAAAGCUCCAAAUACUAUACUAACGCCACUCAGGUCUCUCUCUCUUUUUUGUGACAAUGGUUAUACGAUUAUAAACAUAUUUGCUUUUUACGGUUUAUUUUGGUUAUUUGUCCCACUAUCCCGUCUGCGAUGGCAUGAAUGAUGAAUUCUUUAGUCAAAAUGACUUUAGGAAGCCGUACGUCAGAGGCGGAACCUGCUAGAAACUGUCCAUCGCCACAUGCUCUUUGGAGACUUUCUAAAACAGGUGGACACUCAAACUAAGCGACCUUAUGAAGCCUUAUGAAUCCAGAGACGGGACACAGCUGCUGCUUUUUGCUCCGGCAACCACAGACUAAAUCUGCGAGGAAGUAAAGGCUUUGCUGUAACAAGUAGGUUUGGUUUGCUGUGUGUCUUUUGUUUUUGUUUUUUCUGGAACAACAGAGCCAUGGGGAGGAGUAGAAUGAGAGAUGUAUGCUGCGUGUGAGAGAAAGAGAAGGAGAUCGACUGCACUGAACAAAGAGGCGGGGAUGUAGGAAGGGAAUGGAGAUGUUAUUGUGUUCCACUUAGAGUGAGAAGGAAUCCUGGACGUUCAGCACUUUGUAGCUUUCAGUCACUUGCUACUCUUUAGACUGUAGAUUUAUGCCAUCAAAGAGUUUUUAAAAAGAACUGCCUUCGGUGGGAAUCAAAGCUUAGGGGACUAAUUAGUUCACUAACCCCAACAUGUAGUGUGUUUACUGCAGGAAGCUACAUUCCUAUUUCUAAUUCAGGGAUUUCUCCUGCUGUUAAUUGUUCCUUGUGAAGUCACAUUUACAUGUAAUAAUCAGGCAUAAAUCCUCCUGAUUCCUGAUUCCUAUUUCGAAAACAAUAUCGUUUUCUAUAUUAUGAUAGUCACAAAUAUUCACUGAGCUAAAUGUGUGGUUGGUAUUUUGAGUACUGCAAUGUAACACACUUGGAUUUUAACUGUUGUGAUGUGUUGUAAUCUUCUUCUUACAGCCAAAUAGUUGAAGUGGACGCAUUAUUUUCUGGCAAAGAUACACAUUCGCAGCACAACGCACAGGAGAGGAAUCCCAAUUCAAAGUAGGAGAGGAUGCGUUAUCUCACAUUGCAGGUGUGUGGAUCACCUUUUUAAUUGGAUCUUUGCACAAGAGCGGCAAAAGCACAAGUUCCACUGGCUUUUGGCACGUGCUCUUUAAAGCAGGAAGUAACCGAGACAGAGCCAUGGUGUGUGUUCAACACGCGCACACUCGAGCAUACACUCACAUGCAUGCAAGUAGACAAACACAGCAGCUCUGAGCAAAAUCCUUUACAAUCUGAGCGCACAAUACGAUUAGCUGCUUCAGUGUGUACGUUCAGAGAGGCUGGUUAAGCCUGUCCUCUGUCCCUCUGGUCCCUCUUAUCUACCGUAGGUGAUAUAUUAAAACAAGAAGCUGUUACACACAACAAGACCCAAUGGAACUGGAUGUCCCAAAAAAAUAUCAUGUGGCAGCAGAGCAAACAGCAUCUAGGUCACGUGAGGCUGAGAUCAAACAUGCAGAUGUCCUCUUUAUCCACCUCCUCCACCAGCUUCAUCGGGCCUUCUCAAGGACUUUGGAAGCCUCUGCCAUGCUUUCUAAUAUAACCUCUUUAUUCGUGAGAUGUGGCAGGAAGGAGCAUCUUGUUAGAGUCGUUAUUAUGAGCAAAAGAUGGUUGAAUUGGAAGCUGACAUUUCUUACCUGUCCCACCGUGCAGAAUUACAUUGUUUUUUUUCUGCUAAAACCCUCAAAGCACAUUGGAAAACAAAGGACAUCAGGCUGCCAUUUAAAGCUGCUGGCCAAUUGCACACCAACAACAACUGCACUGCAGUGCAAAGCCUUUAAAGUCAUAAUGAUCAAUUUCCAUUUGCACGGGAGGCAGGUCAAGCACAGUUUGGCCCUUUGUACACGACGAUGAUGAUGAUGAUGAUGAUGAUGAUGAUGAUGAUGAUGUGGAGCACUCUGGGCUCCAGUGGAACAACUCCGCCCUGGUGAUGCCGUUCAGUCAGGUCCACAAACCCUCCCAGAGAGUCUGUUCCAGAUGUUGAGGAGAAGCUGCUGCCCGUCACUACCCAAGAGGGUGGGGUGAACCCACUGGCCUGAAAUGUCAAGGAACGCCCUUUGCUCUUCGAGUUGCGUUAUACACAACUAUGGGCCCCUGAGAAUAUGGGGGAUCAUUUUAGAUCCUUACGCCAUGCCUGCCUAGAAACUCCAGAUGACAUCAGCUAAAACUCCACUUGAAGUAAAGUUUGCUGCUAUGUGUAAAAGUUCGACAAACUCUCUGGGGUAAACAUAUUUCACUCAGAUCAAAAUUAAUACUUAAUACAAAUCAAUAGUGUGAUUGAGUCUGUGGGAUCGAAUAAAACAAAGAAUUAUAGAUCACAAUACACAGAAUACUGCAGAGUUGCUAUAUUUUCAUUCAUUGGUUGAUGGCACGACAUUGUUCUACAUAAACAAUCAGCAUAUCAUCAACACAGAAUUAAUGACAUUAUUUGUCUCGAUACACAUGAGAUUUUUGAUGAGUAAGAUCUAUAUCGAGUCUCUUUAACUCUCCAACUCUGUUGGACUCAUUUGUUUUCUACCACUGUUUAGUUAAUAUAAUAACAUUAAUUACUUCACACCAAAUCAAAAAACAGCCAAUAAUUAAGAUCAAUGUAUAUGAUGCUACGGUUCCAUUUUAAUUGGCCAGAGGGUUUUUUUAAUUUUGGGCUUGUGCUGCCAACCCUUUACUCUGCCAAUUUACCAAGAUACAGUAUGUCGGCAAAAGAGUGUGAAAGUGACCAGCCAGGGGGACUCGGCCAUCUUGGUUCUGUCAACUCGAGACUGAACACGAUGCAUCGGUAAGAAAAGUAGAAAGAAAAAACCUCUCCCUGAUCCUUUUAUCUGUAACCACUCUGGAGUGGAUUUAGCGCUUUCUCUGUACCAGCCGGGGGAGCUUAAGUGAAGCUUAAAUAGCUAUUAUAGAGCAAUUAACUUGUGGGUGCUGACAUAUGCAUCUCCCCUUGCCAUCUGUUUCUCUGCUGAGGGACGUUAAGUUGCGGUGCUGAAUGUUUACUGGGUGUUCCCAGCGUGCCACUGCCUCCCACUGCACCACAUGAGUAUUACAGUGGGAUUCAAAGUGACUGGACCAUGUAAUGACAGUAGGCCAGUUUUAGUUACAGUAAGCAACAAGGAAAGCUAUUUUUAAUCUUUCUACGUAACUUGUGAGGAAUUUUCUCCACUUGUAUAUCAGAUCAUCUGCACAUAUUGUCAGAAAUGUUGUUUGACAUACAUACAUGUGAUGCGCACACACGCACACACGCGUUUGGCAAAAACCAUGAAGAAUAGUUUUCUCUGUGCAGCAGGAGGGAGAAGAAAGAGGAGAAGAGGCCACCUGCAGAGGAGGAGAUGCUUAAGAUCCCGGCUGCAGCUAAAAAGAGGAUCUGCGGCGAGUCAGCCUUCACCGACUUCAGGCAUCCUCGAGAAGCGAUGAAGAAAAAAGUGAGGGCGGAGGUUCGGCUGUCACACGGAGAGCUCGUUCACCCACCAAAGGAUCGGCACAGGGAAGAACAGCACAGACACGGCAACAAAGGCACGUCACACGCCGUCACUCAAGUCGGCUAAUGGGAAAAAAUCUGUCAGUGGUUGAUCUUGUGGUAUUUUCCCCUGGAGGACACCGCCCUGAAACCGAAGGAUCUACACAUCGGGAUGCGGUAGUUUUUGGGCGCGGAGCUGCUGCGGAUCCAGUACUCUCGUGGGAAAUGCGCAGGGAAACAGAUGGGAGCCGAGCACACGCUGUGCAUUUCCACCGUGCGCCUCAGAGACUCUCUGCAGGUUGCAGGCUAGAGACCGUCAGCCAGGCUCAAUGUCACGGGCAAGCGCAGAAUGGGACUCCAGUCGUUCCACUCCUCGGGACUGAGACAGAUACUUUCGCCAUAGACUGCAUUACCAACUUUAGGGGUCACUCUCUGUUAUUAUUUACUUGUUUUAGAACGUUUGACCGAAUUGAGAACAUUUUUUGUGCACAGAAAUGUUUUCUUUCCAUUUAUAGUCAGUUCCUUGCCCUGUGCCUCAUCCCUCCACAUAAUCUAUAGGACAUUAAUAGACCAUCGCUCUCUUUUUUUUCGACGAGUGAGAAACAUUUUUGAAAAAAGUGUUUUCGCACCACUCAUCUGGAAGGUAAAGAGAAAGAAAGUAAAAACACAUUGUUUUGACGUGUCCUUAUCUGAGGAUGGGCUGACCUUCACUUUGAAGAUUAAGGACGUGCGAGUCAGUGCACCGGAGACGACACCGCCGGCGCUGGAGGCCUCACUGCCAUCGUGGACCACAGGAUUCCCACCAAGUGUACCAGCCACUUUAAGAACAUGCGAGAGUGCAAGAUGAGCACCGAGGAGGGAAGGGUGACAUCACGGGACAGAAAGAGGACGCAAGGUGAUCAUCGACGGCUGCGAAGUGACGGACGAGGCAGAGUUCUCGUCACCUGCACUCAGCACAAUGACGCCCAGGAACACACGUCACUUCUGCCCGACUGACCACUUUUUCUUUAUCGGUGUCAGUGUCACUUUUGUUUGUGUCGUGCUGGAGCGGAUGUCAAAGCUCAGUGUCCUACAGUCUCCCGUGCAGAGCUGUUGUGCUUGAUGGUGAGAAGAAUGGAGUGUGGCUGAAAGACGAAAGAGUCUCUCAAAUGCCCCCUUCUUCUACCAAAUGAUGUGGCAGAGGGUUUUUUUUGUCAUGCAAACACUUGGAUCCAGUCAUGAAGCUGUGGUUCGUCCACCACUUCUGUCCCGACUAAAAUAUCCCAACAUCUGCUCUACAGAUUGGCACACACAGUAUUAAUCAUAAUACUUUUGGUGAUACCAUAACCUGUUCUUUACAGGCACAUUAGUUUAAAUCUCGACAAUAAGAAGGACUGCUAGAUUUCUCCAAAAGUUGGUGCAGAUAUAUACGGUCGGAAGAGGAAGAUUUUUUUUUCUUCAAUAACACAUUGUUUGUGUGUAACAUUGACAGAUUUAGGAGCUGAUCUUCUCUGGUAUGACUUUCAUGAUGGGGGGGUUCCCCUCCAGGGCCAAUGGGGCUGAGACGGAGGCUGUGUGCUCACUAGUGCAGAUGAUUGAGAUGGAUGAAAGGAAGCUUCCUGCCACAAUAUCAGUCACGCAAAUCACAUCCCAAACUACAUCAAUCUCAUUCUCCAGAAAUGGGUUUCUCUGUGCCGGACACGUCGGGGGGCCCGAGCUGUGAGUGAAGGCCGGCCAGAAACCACCAUUAAGAUCCCCUUCAAAGGCAAACCGCCGCCUGAGGUCACACGGCACGAGGAUGGUCGCGGAGGUCAUGGAGGACGAGAGGACCCCGGCGGUGUGUACAGCUGAGAGCACCUCGCUGGUUCCCAGCACCAGCGAGGUGCCAGGAACACAUAUUUAGGGAUUCAGAAGUAAAAGCUGUCUCCUUUAAUGCAGGUUUUAAAUACUACAGAACAACAUAAGCCUCCUGAGAGUAAGAUAGAGUUCAUCGAGCUAUAUGCAAAGUGUAUUAAUUAAAAAAGGAUUUUUUAAUCAUUUAAAUGUCA